ACCACUGCAUACACACACACACACAAAAAAAACCAGCGGUGGUUAUCAUUAUUUUCUGUCACUGUCAACAUGAGGAUGCACAGUUUCAUUGUCCUUGGUUCAAAAGACGAGUCAUGCCUUGGAUGUGCAGUGAUUGUAGACAACCCCCCUUGCGGAGCCACUUUGCCACAUAUGGAGCUAUGUCCUUUUCAAGGUACAAUAAACAGAAAGCAGCUCUGCAAAGGGAGCAGCAAUAGCUGCUUAAUCAACAAUGGCUUCUACAAGAACGUCCAUCCCAGGAGCACAGCAGAACUGACAACGUAUCAUCUCUAUGACUGCUAG
rnacentral:lncRNA from 1 species